UACGUAGGGUGCGAGCGUUGCCCGGAAUUACUGGGCGUAAAGAGCUCGUAGGUGGUUUGUCGCGUUGUCCGUGAAAACUCACAACUCAAUUGUGGGCGUGCGGGCGAUACGGGCAGACUGGAGUACUGCAGGGGAGACUGGAAUUCCUGGUGUAGCGGUGGAAUGCGCAGAUAUCAGGAGGAACACCGGUGGCGAAGGCGGGUCUCUGGGCAGUAACUGACGCUGAGGAGCGAAAGCGUGGGGAGCGAACAGG
rnacentral:rRNA from 1 species